CUCACUUUCAGCUUGCUUUUCCUCUCAUCUUUGGUUGCAUCUGAUUGUGCCCGUGCGUUUCGGCAGCUGGGACUGUGAGUUACCAGAAUCUGCUCCUUCUUUGCUGUCAUCUCUUGCUUAUCCGUCCAGAACAGAGAUUGCUUCCUUCAUCAGUUUCGACCACGUGCUCAUCCUGAACCAUUAUCGUUGCACUUUAGUUUGAGAUAUUGUAGCUGAUUCUGUGCCUCCAACAAAUCAUAGAGGGCCCCUUUUGUUUUUGGAAAAGAGGAAGCAUAUUGCAAUUAUUGUUUUG